rnacentral:rRNA from 1 species
AGAGUUUGAUCCUGGCUCAGGACGAACGCUGGCGGCGUGCUUAACACAUGCAAGUCGAACGGAAAGGCCCCCACCUUUUGGUGGGGGUGCUCGAGUGGCGAACGGGUGAGUAACACGUGGGUGAUCUGCCCUGUACUUCGGGAUAAGCUUGGGAAACUGGGUCUAAUACCGGAUAGGACCAUGGUUUAGUGUCUCAUGGUGGAAAAAUAUUGUUUUGGUGCAGGAUGAGCUCGCGGCCUAUCAGCUUGUUGGUGGGGUAAUGGCCUACCAAGGCGUCGACGGGUAGCCGGCCUGAGAGGGUGGACGGCCACAUUGGGACUGAGAUACGGCCCAGACUCCUACGGGAGGCAGCAGUGGGGAAUAUUGCACAAUGGGCGCAAGCCUGAUGCAGCGACGCCGCGUGGGGGAUGACGGCCUUCGGGUUGUAAACUCCUUUCGUUAGGGACGAAGCCACAUUUUUUUGGGUGUGGUGACGGUACCUUUGUUAAGAAGCACCGGCUAACUACGUGCCAGCAGCCGCGGUAAUACGUAGGGUGCGAGCGUUGUCCGGAAUUACUGGGCGUAAAGAGCUCGUAGGUGGUUUGUUGCGUCGUCUGUGAAAUUCCGGGGCUUAACUUCGGGGUGGCAGGCGAUACGGGCAUAACUAGAGUGCUGUAGGGGAGACUGGAAUUCCUGGUGUAGCGGUGGAAUGCGCAGAUAUCAGGAGGAACACCGAUGGCGAAGGCAGGUCUCUGGGCAGUAACUGACGCUGAGGAGCGAAAGCAUGGGGAGCGAACAGGAUUAGAUACCCUGGUAGUCCAUGCUGUAAACGGUGGGCGUUAGGUGUGGGGACCGGUUUUGGUUUCUGUGCCGUAGCUAACGCAUUAAGCGCCCCGCCUGGGGAGUACGGCCGCAAGGCUAAAACUCAAAGGAAUUGACGGGGGCCCGCACAAGCGGCGGAGCAUGCGGAUUAAUUCGAUGCAACGCGAAGAACCUUA